rnacentral:lncRNA from 1 species
UUUUGUUUCAUGACCUCCAGAUUAACAACCGCAAACCUCAUCUGAUUUUUUUCUUUCUAUUAUCUGGUCAAACUCAGCUGUUAUUCUUCAUCAGGUUUUCUGCCCAUGGUGAGGAACUGCAAACAGAAAGUACGAAGGGAAACACUGAAGCCCAUUAAGUUCGGCUGAACUCUGACAUAUCUAUACAGCCCCAGGCGAUGGCUGCGGAUCAUGUGGCUCAUGCAAGAGCCUGGUGUUUUCACUGUCAACAGCCAUUAUAGUUCAAGGUGACAUGAAUGGAAGCACAAAAAUCACAUCACAAAAUGCUAGGAGUAACAAAGCCUUGCAAGUCUGUCUGAGACAGAGAAGAUGAAGAGGUUACAGGAGGACGCAGCUAAGCCAAAGGAGGUCACUGGAUGAGUCAUGCAUAGACUCAGAUCCACAGAUAUCAAGGAGAACAGAAAAUGUGUGUGAUAUCCGCCAGCUGGAUCCCAUCUGUCUUUUCUCUGCGGAGAUGGAGUUUCAAAGUCUACAUCCUAUCUAUUGUCACACCCUCGCUCUACAUGAGAAGCUAAGUGUAAAGUUUGGCUACAGUGAUGGAAAAACAAUAUCUCUUUAGUGCAUCACAACUAUUUCCCUACCUACACAAAAGU